rnacentral:lncRNA from 1 species
UGUAUGCCCUCUGCUAAUAGGCAGUCAUCUUGGGCCUUUCACCAGAGCCUGUUCUUUAAUAUAGUUAUAAUGAGACCAUAAAUGGCCAAAAUUCGAAAGCAGGGGAGGGAGUAGUUAAGAAUCAGACAUGUAAUAACUGAUAAUCUGAUCACAAAAAGUUAUAAAAACUAAUAACCAAAUAUAAAUGGGAAAGGAGAGUUGUCUGGAACUAUUGAUAUAAUUAAAAAUAGCCCCA